GAUUAACAAUGCAUGAAUGCAACAUUCUACCUAUAAAUGCAUCAACGGGAUUGUGUUUCGGAGUAAUAGCCAUGUCACGUUGUCGAUGUCAUUUCUUGACAGAAGGCUGUUGUAGUUUACAGCCGAUUUAAUUGAUAAAGUUAAAACAAAGUGCAUGUCUAGUUCUCUUGCGUCUAUGCGGAGCAAUGCUGGCCAGCAGAGGCGGAAGUAUUAUGACCUGAUGAGUGGCUUCUACACGGCCCAGACUGUGCCCGCAGGAAUGCCCUGACCGAGUGGUUUCAACCCCCAGCUCUCACAACCUGACAAGUUUCUGUGCAGUCUUCAGAUAUCUGGCAAAGGCUUUCCUCUGAGAUAUAGCUGGCUUGGCUGCCAGGAUACUGGCACAUCCCCGGGAGCAUCACCCCCUGCUCUGUGGACAUGAGCUUCAUUGAGCAGCCUCUAGACAUGCCCCCUCCUUACACCUCAGCUUCCUCCCUAGUAGGAGGAACCGCCUACACCCAUCGCUCCGGGACUCUAUUCUCACAACACUCGGGGCUACGCUGUUGCAAGGAUCACGGUCGUUUGAGACUCAAAAGCCUUAUACGGUUCAACAAUGCAUGCUUCCAGCAGGAUGACCUGCCGACUAUGUUUUGCAUGCCCUGCCGAAGGACCUUAGUACACUACCAUGUGGAAUAGGUGGUUGCAGUUCGUUGGUCCCCAAUGGUGAUACCAGUAUGGAGCCAACACUUGGGAGAUUUGCAAGAGUGAUGGUGUCCAGACUGACAGACAGGCUUGAUGCUGAUGUCUCUGAAUGUAGAGAGAACUUGCAUUCAGUAAUAAAAUUAUACAAGACAAUUCUAUAACAUUUUAUAGUAUUUUCUUAUUAUUGAAUCGAAUGGUAUGACGACUGACAUGUUUGGCAAGGUAGCCCAGACAAAAUGUUGAUAGAUCCAGUAUCUGUGAAUGACAAUAAAAGAUGAAAGACAAGUGUAAUAUUUGCAUAUUGUUAUAUGAGCAGAACACUGCUUCUACAAUAUUAUGUGAAGAAUGUAUUAUUCUACAUGGAACUGUUUUUUUUGUUGGU
rnacentral:lncRNA from 1 species